rnacentral:rRNA from 1 species
CAGUCGCCGCGGUAAUACGUAGGGAGCGAGCGUUGUCCGGAAUCAUUGGGCGUAAAGAGCUCGUAGGCGGCUUGGUAAGUCGGAUGUGAAACCUCCAGGCUCAACCUGGAGUCGCCAUCCGAUACUGCCAUAGCUAGAGUCCGGUAGGGGCCCACGGAACUCCUGGUGUAGCGGUGAAAUGCGCAGAUAUCAGGAAGAACACCGGUGGCGAAGGCGGUGGGCUGGGCCUGUACUGACGCUCAUGCACGAAAGCGUGGGGAGCAAACAGGAUUAGAUACCCCCGUAGUCCCUGUCUCUUAUA